UUCUGCACUUUCUCUUCUUCAUAUAGAUUGUUAUAAGAGCAAGUAUAUGAGAUCUGAUAUUUUGUUAUUGAAUUUUACUUGGUUAUUUUUUCUUCAAUGCUCUGUUUUCUUAGCUUAAAGGACAAAUUCAUGUUAUUAUUAUUAUGAGGGUAUCAAACUAUAGUGAAUUAAAGUAGAUUGAGGGAGGAAUAAUGAAAUGUAUUUACUUAUUUAACCUUGUUUGAUUCCUAGGCAUUGAAAUUUCUGGCCUCAGAAUUGUUAAAACAUAUUGGAGUCUAUAAAUAAAACCUUUUCUCUUAGAGGUUUAAUUUGUACCCUGAGAUUUUGUCAUGGUAAUUUAAUACUUCACCUACUACUAUGCAGAAUUAGUCUUAAAAAUUCAAUGUCACUUUUGUUUGGUUAUGUUAUUUCAUAAAUUGCAGUGUAAAUAUUUGGCUAUUUGGUUUCUUCUCAAAUUGCAGAAUAGAAAGAAUGCUUAUACUUUAGGAUGUAUAUGCCAUAUACUAGGAGCAAUAAAAUGGCUGCACAGACAGUACCUAAGUUGGCACUAGUACAUAAGCAUGAUUGGCUUAUUCUUCUGCUUCUUGGUGCUAUAGAGAUACUCUUGAAUUUUAUAGAACCCUUUCAUCGCUAUGUUAAUAAAGACAUGAUCAGAGAUCUUACUUUUCCAUUCAAAGAAGACACCAUACCUAUGUGGGGUGUUCCUAUAGUGUCUAUACUCGUCCCCAUUCUUAUUUUUAUUGGGUUUUACUUUCUAAGAAGGGAUAUCUACGAUUUACACCAUGCAGUCAUGGGUAUCAUGUAUUCUAGCUUAGUAACAGGUGUUAUCACGGAUGCGAUCAAAGACGCUGUUGGUAGACCACGGCCAAACUUUUUCAUGCGUUGUUUCCCUGACAAAAUACCGGAGUUUGAUGAAGAGACUGGUGAUGUUAUUUGUCAUGGGAUUGCAAAAGUUAUAAAGGAAGGAUACAAAAGUUUUCCAAGUGGGCAUACUUCAUGGUCAUUUGCUGGGCUAGCCUUUCUUGCUUGGUACUUAUCUGGGAAAAUCAGAGUCUUUGAUAGAAGGGGCCAUAUAGCCAAACUAUGCAUUGUGUUGCUUCCAUUACUAAUUGCUUCUCUAAUUGGAAUUACUAGAGUUGAUGAUUACUGGCAUCAUUGGACCGAUGUCUUUGCCGGAGCUAUCAUUGGACUUGUGGUGUCUUCAAUUUGUUAUUUGUUACUCUUUCCCUUUCCUACUCUACAAUCUGGCUGGGCACCUCAUGCAUAUUUUUAUAUGACUGAGAUAUCCAUUGAGAUGAAUAAUGACUCUGAGGAUUUGGAGAAUGAAACAAGAACUAAGUAAUUGCUGACUUAAUGAAGUAAAUGAAGAUUGUGUGACACUAACCCAUCGUUUUAUAAUGAGAUGCAAUGUCAAUUUAGCAGUCAUAGCUACAUGAAUCGAUGGCUUUAUCAAUAGUUGCAUCCUUCUUCUGAAAAGAAAUGGAAGAAAAGAAAGAACCACUGCAAUCCCUUCGUCUUAGUUGUUUCCUCCAGAAAGACGAAGCAUUGAACGGCGACAACCAGGCUUGACCGACGACGACAGUGUGCUGGAGUUAUUGGUGACCGGUUUGCGACGACAUUGGUCAACCGAAAAGGGCACUCCAUCGCCUUGCGUGAGAGAUGGAAGGUCCCCCAAUGACCUUUGUAUUUCACCAUGGUGGAAAGUUCCAAACAGAUGAAUCAGGCUAUCUGUGUUAUGAACCAGAUAAUACUGAAGUAUUAAUGGGUGUAGAUUCAGACACUCUAGACGUUUUCUUUGUGAAUGGAUACUACAAAGACGAAGCAUGACAGAGGUAAGCCUAUUCUGAGUCUGGCAGAGGAGGUACGAAGAACGGUUAUGAAAAGCAUGUCUGACAAUAGACUGAAGCUUCUGAGUUAUCAAGGAAAACUUGCUCCAGUUCAGCAAAGUAGGCUAGAAUCUCUUAUUAAGUUAUCCAGAAACUGAGCUCUCUACUGGUCGGGUGAUGCGAAAGAGGAAGUCUACGAAGUUCAAGGAUGGCCUACUAAUAUGGUGGUAGAUUUGGGGAAGCAUACUUGCUCCUGCAGGUUUUGGCAGUUGACAGGAAUGCCUUGUAUGCACGCAAUAUCAGCCAUUCAAGAAAAAAAUGAUAAGAGGCCUGAGGAGUAUUGCCACGAAUGGUUGAGCAUAGAUGCGUACAGAAGAACAUACCAAUUCAAUGUUAAUCCUGUCAAGGGACAAGAUCUAUGGGAGAAAACUGGUUCUCCUGCACCUGUUCCACCUCCUAUCAAACCUAAACCAGGCAGACCAACAACAAAUAGAAGGAAGGACAAGGAUGAAGGACCCACUGGCACGAAGACAAAAAUGAAAAGGAAGUAUGCUCCAAUUCGGUGCAUGUACUGUGGAGAGGUGGGCCACAACAAGAGAACUUGCAGCAAGAAAAAGUAAGACGAUGCUUAGAAGAAAGCAAGGAUGAUGCAAUUGCAGCUUGCAGCUGUUCAACAACCACAACCUGCACCUGGUCCAGAAGCAGAAAAGGAAGAUCACACUCAGCCCAUACAGACACUACCUGCAGUAGCAACAACUGCUUUAGAUGAACAGACUGAAAUAUCUGUUACUCAGCAUGCUCAGCUUCUACUGACACAAUAAUCCCACACCUUAACCAAUGUCAGUCAGACUAGAAGUAGAGGAAGGCCUCCAAAACUCCAUGUCACCAGGUCCAGGACAAACGGAAAUGAUGAUAACCAAUGUCAGUCAGACUAGAAGUAGAGGAAGGCCUCCAAAACUCCAUGUCACCAGGGCCAGGACAAACGAAAAUGCCUCUCCAGGAGCAGUUGCUGUAUCUGCUGAAACCAUCAAGGGUAGCAGCCCCACAACAGCCAAGAAACUUGCCAGCUUCAUGAUAUUCGUUCCAAUUUCGGGUUUCAAACCUCCCAAAAAAAAAAAGACAUGGAAUGACUUCAAGACUUGAAGACAUAAAAUAUAGGGCAUUUAGUAUCUGUUACUUUUUUAAGGGCCAAAUUUUACCAUUUAUAAACAAUGUCGUAGUUGUGGUAUCUUCAAUAGCCCUAUUUUUUGUGUAGCCCUUUAUGGUAUACUGCUUUCAACUGUCAGCUACUACUUUUUGGAUUAUUAUCAUGUUAAAACAAUGUUAUUUUUUGAAUCUGAGACAAUGGAAACUAGUACACCAUUGGUGAUGUUAUGAUGU